rnacentral:rRNA from 1 species
UACGUAGGGUGCAAGCGUUGUCCGGAAUUAUUGGGCGUAAAGAGCUCGUAGGCGGUUUGUCGCGUCUGCUGUGAAAUCCCGAGGCUCAACCUCGGGCCUGCAGUGGGUACGGGCAGACUAGAGUGCGGUAGGGGAGAUUGGAAUUCCUGGUGUAGCGGUGGAAUGCGCAGAUAUCAGGAGGAACACCGAUGGCGAAGGCAGGUCUCUGGGCCACUACUGACGCUGAGAAGCGAAAGCAUGGGGAGCGAACAGG